rnacentral:rRNA from 2 species
AAGAGCCCAUCGCCCAAUCCGACGCCUCCUCGGCGUACCGGAAAUUUGGCGUAUGGGAGAGACGCUUCCGGGCGCCGCCUCCGGUGCAAGUCCCUCUGACUGGGGCUCCUACCCCGAGAGGGUGCAAGGCCCGUAGCGGCCGGAAGGUGGUCCCGGAUGUCCUCUCCUGGGAGUCGGGUUGCUUGAGAGUGCAGCCCUAAUCGGGUGGUAAACUCCAUCUAAGGCUAAAUACGACCUCGAGACCGAUAGCGAACAAGUACCGUGAGGGAAAGUUGAAAAGGACUUUGAAGAGAGAGUUCAAGAGUACGUGAAACCGUUCGGAGGUAAACGAGUGGGCCCUCGAAGGAAGAUGGCGGGGGACUCAGGCGAGAGAGAUGGCCUGCCAGCGCUGCCUCGCUUCCCAAACUGGACUUGGCGCGCGGGCUAGUGCUCUAGCUUUCGUCGCAUUUCCUCUCGCCCUCUGACGCUGCGACCGGUCGGGUGCGCCACAAGCAGUCGGCCUUACUCGCGGGGAUCGGCAGGUAGCCGGGACAGUGCUUUGGCGCUGCUCCGGUGUUUAGCCACCCCGCAAUCACGGCCGUUCACCCGACCGCAGGAAAUGGCUCUCAGGGGCCGAGCCGCGCCCUCCCCUCGUGGGAGCGCUCUUCCGCCGGAAGGGAGGUCGCCGUUCUCGCCUGUUCACCGCAAGGUGUCAGGUGUGCGGUGGCGCCUGGUGGCUGGCGGAAUUGCGUGCGGGCGCAGGCGGUCUGCAGCGAGUAGGUCGGUCACCCACUCGACCCGUCUUGAAACACGGACCAAGGAGUUUAACAUGUGCGCGAGUCAUUGGGUCUUGCACAGGCCCAAAGGCGCAAUGAAAGUGAAGGUCGGCUUUCGCCGUCCGCGUUGGGAUCCGGGGCUUCGGCUUCGGCGCACCAACGGCUCGUCCACGUCGCCACGUCGACCGGGCGAAGCUAGAGCGUACACGUUGAGACCCGAAAGAUGGUGAACUAUGGCUGGGCAGGACGAAGCCAGAGGAAACUCUGGUGGAGGUCCGCAGCGGUUCUGACGUGCAAAUCGAUCGUCAGACCUGGCUAUAGGGGCGAAAGACUAAUCGAACCAUCUAGUAGCUGGUUCCCUCCGAAGUUUCCCUCAGGAUAGCUGGCGCUCAGGAGGAAGCAGUCUCAUCCGGUAAAGCGAAUGAUUAGAGGCCUUGGGGCCGAAAAGACCUCAACCUAUUCUCAAACUUUCAAUGGGUGAGAAGUCCGGUUUGCUUGAUUGAAGCCCGGACCUUCUCGGAUGCGAGUGCCCAGUGGGCCACUUUUGGUAAGCAGAACUGGCGCUGUGGGAUGAACCAAACGACGGGUUAAGGGGCCCGAUGCAGGACGCUCAUGAGACCCCAUGAAAGGUGUUGGUUGCUAUAGACAGCAGGACGGUGGCCAUGGAAGUCGGAAUCCGCCAAGGAGUGUGUAACAACUCACCUGCCGAAGCAACUAGCCCUGAAAAUGGAUGGCGCUUCAGCGUCGACCCCAUACCCGUCCGCCGCGGCGGAGAUGCGAUCGCAUUAUGCCGCGGUGAGUAGGAGGGCGCGGGGGCGCGCGUGGAAGGUGCCGGGCGUAAGCCCGCCUGGAGCCGCCCCCGGUGCAGAUCUUGGUGGUAGUAGCAAAUACUCAAGUGAGAACCUUGAGGACUGAGGUGGAGAAGGGUUCCAUGUGAACAGCAGUUGAACAUGGGUCAGUCGGUCCUAAGGGAUGUCCGAAAGGAUUUCUGAAGGGGGACUUUAUGUAGAUGGGUCCCGCCCAUGACCGAAAGGGAAUCGGGUUAAUAUUCCCGAACCCGGACACGGAGAUCGGCCCCCUCGGGGGCACGUGCGGUAACGCAAACGACCUCGGAGACGUCGACGGGGGUCCCGGGAAGAGUUGUCUUUUCUUUGUAAGGGUUCGGCUCCCUGGAAUCGGCUCGCCCGGAGAUAGGGAUGCUGAACCCGUAAAGCACCGCGCCUCUUGCAGUGUCCGGAGCGCUCCCGUCGGCCCUUGAAAAUCCGAGCGAGAGUUGGUGAUUUUCGUGCCGGACCGUACCCAUAUCCGCAGCAGGUCUCCAAGGUGAACAGCCUC